AUACGAAAGGUGCAAGCGUUGUUGGGAUUUACUGGGCGUAAAGAGAGUGUAGGUUGUUUAUUAAGUCGGAUGUGAAAUCCCGGGGCUCAACCUCGGAACUGCAUUCGAUACUGGUAGACUAGAGUUCGGGAGGGGUAAGCGGAAUUCCGUGUGUAGCAGUGAAAUGCGUAGAUAUACGGAGGAACACCUGAGGCGAAGGCGGCCUACUGGACCGAUACUGACACUGAGACUCGAAAGCGUGGGUAGCAAACAGGAUUAGAAACCCUAGUAGUCC
rnacentral:rRNA from 1 species